CUUUCUUCUCUAGCUUCCUUUUUAGCCCCUUCUCUUUGCCUUUAAAUAAUUAAGACCGCCCCCACUGAACCCAAAAGAGAUGUCACUCAAGUUACAAAGCUAAAAACAAAAGUCCCUUACUCGGCCGGCGGAAGGGAGCAGCUUCAAUCUGAAAUUACUUUUCCUUGAAAUUAGGAAGCAAAACGAGAGGCGGAAGGGGGGCUGAUUAGAAUUGGAUAGAAUCGCAAUUGCAGAUACUUAAGUUUUAAUGGAAAAAGAAUGUUCGCUCCCUAAGUAGUGUUUCCCAGCCGAAUCCGAUCAAAAAUGAGUGCGAGGACCGCGAACGUUUUCGUUUGGGGUUCGCUGUUUCUCUGCGCUUCAAUCUGAGCCGUCCAAGUCAAUUUUUUCUUGCCCCAGUGUGCAAAAAAGAAAAAAAUAAAUAAAACUCUAGAAGAAUCUGCCCGCGGCUAGCCCCGGCCUGGCAAGGGAGCAACCCUCCAGGCCGCCCGAGAAAGGGACAAACUCGAACGUCCCCUGGAGUCUCCGGUGUCUCAGAUUGGACUAGGCUGACCCAAGACGAGUGCCUCUCGACAUGUAAAUAUCAUCGUGGAUGCGUGUAAAACCAGCCGCGGAUGCUGUGUAUCCUUGUGAAGAGCCGAUGUGAACGUGACUGGUGGGAAGCACAGAGCACAAGCUGCACGCAUUAACGCUAGUCCCUGGAGACAUCUGAUACUCAUCUCUUUGAAUACUAGAGCUACCCAGCAAGAUGGACUAUCCCCCAUUUUACAGGUGAGGAGACUGAGGCUUGGAGGAGUUGAGGCACCUGCUCAAGGGGGCACAAUACUGCUAACGGGUGGGACUCAAGAGCCCAUGAUCUUAGGUGCCACAUGGGGCUGGGUAUAUGAUCAAAAAGCUUAGACUGUAGCACAUUAAGGCAAAAUGAAAUGGCUUAGCUUAUAUUGGCAUGGGUACUUUAAAGUCAAGGAAUAAGCAAAUUCUAAUAAGUAAGAUGAUAUAUACUGUGUGUAUGCAUUAGCAGUUGGGAUGCUAUAUAUCAAUAUGAAGUGAGAACCAG
ensembl:lncRNA